rnacentral:rRNA from 1 species
ACGGGUGAGUAACACGUAGGUGACCUGCCCCGAAGUGUGGAAUAACAGUCCGAAAGGAUUGCUAAUACCGCAUGUGGUCUGUGAGGUUAGAGUCUUGCAGACUAAAGCAGUAAUGUGCUUCGGGAGGGGCCUGCGCCCCAUCAGCUAGUUGGUAGGGUAAUGGCCUACCAAGGCAACAACGGGUAGGGGGCCUGAGAGGGUGACCCCCCACAUUGGCACUGACACACGGGCCAAACUCCUACGGGAGGCAGCAGUGAGGAAUAUUGCUCAAUGGGCGAAAGCCUGAAGCAGCAACGCCGCGUGCGCGAUGAAGGCCUUCGGGUCGUAAAGCGCUUUUGAGAGGGACGAGAUAGGACGGUACCUCUGGAAUAAGUCACGGCUAACUACGUGCCAGCAGCCGCGGUAAAACGUAGGUGGCAAGCGUUAUCCGGAUUCACUGGGCGUAAAGCGCGUGCAGGUGGCUUCGUAAGUUGGACGUUAAAUCUCCCGGCCUAACCGGGAGGAGUCGUUCAAUACUGCGGGGCUGGGGGGCAGAAGAGGGGGGUGGAAUUGCUGGUGUAGUGGUGAAAUGCGUAGA